GAUUAACGCUGGCGGCGUGCAUAACACAUGCAAGUCGAACGAUGAAACUUAAAUGAUUUCUUCGGAAUGAACUUAAGUGGAUUAGUGGCGGACGGGUGAGUAACGCGUGAGUAACCUGCCUUACACAAGGGGAUAGCCGUUGGAAACGACGAAUAAUACCCUAUGAAACUAUCACUUCGCAUGAAGCGAUAGUCAAAGUGUUAGCGGUGUAAGAUGGACUUGCGUCUGAUUAGCUAGUUGGUGAGAAAAAAGCCCACCAAGGCAACGAUCAGUAGCCGGCUUGAGAGAGUGUACGGCCACAUUGGGACUGAGGCACGGCCCAGACUCCUACGGGAGGCAGCAGUGGGGAAUUUUGCACAAUGGGGGAAACACUGAUGCAGCGACGCCGCGUGAUUUAGAAGGCCUUCGGGUUGUAAAAAUCUUUUGUAUAGGAAGAAAAUGACAGUACUAUACGAAUAAGGUCCGGCUAAUUACGUG
rnacentral:rRNA from 1 species